rnacentral:rRNA from 1 species
CCUACGGGUGGCAGCAGUGAGGAAUAUUGGUCAAUGGCCGGAAGGCUGAACCAGCCAUGCCGCGUGAAGGUCAGUGCCCUAUGGGCGUUAAACUUCUUUUGUGCGGGAGCAAUAAUGGUCACGUGUGGCCAGACGAGAGUACCGUACGAAUAAGCAUCGGCUAACUCCGUGCCAGCAGCCGCGGUAAUUCGGGGGAUGCAAGCGUUAUCCGGAUUUAUUGGGUUUAAAGGGUGCGUAGGCUGGUGGGUAAGUCAGCGGUGAAAUGCCCCCGCGCAACGGGGGGAAGUGCCAUUGGUACGGGCCUGCUGGAAUGCGGAUGCCGUAGGAGGAAUGUGUGGUGUAGCGGUGAAAUGCAUAGAUAUCACACAGAACACCGAUUGCGAAGGCAUCUCACGAAUCCGCGAUUGACGCUGAUGCACGAAAGCGUGGGUAUCAAACAGGAUUAGAUACCCUGGUAGUC